rnacentral:misc_RNA from 1 species
AAGUCGUAACAAGGUCUCCGUUGGUGAACCAGCGGAGGGAUCAUUAUGGAGUCCCUAUAACUCCUAAACCAUUUGUGAACCUACUUUACCAUUGCUUCGGCGAGUUGCCAUCAGCCUGAUUUUUUGACUGUAGGCAGCUUGUCAGAGGUGCUCAAAACCCUAGUUGUUGGCAUGUGGUUUCUCUGAGUCUCUUGAACAAGUCAAAACUUUCAACAACGGAUCUCUUGGUUCUG